rnacentral:misc_RNA from 1 species
GAUGAAGAACGUAGCGAAAUGCGAUAAUUAAUGUGAAUUGCAGAAUUCCGUGAAUCAUCGAGUUUUUGAACGCAUAUUGCGCCCCUUGGUAUUCCGAGGGGCAUGCCUGUCCGAGCGUCAUUGCAACCCUUCAAGCACGGCUUGUGUGUUGGACGGCCGCCCCGGUGUGGGCGGGUCCCAAAUGCAGUGGCGGCGCCGCGAUCCGGGUGCUCGAGUGCAUGGAAACCACGCGCUCGUUAGGCCCCGUCGGGCGCCGGCCGACCUAAUUAUCUUCGUUCUGGUUGACCUCGGAUCAGGUAGGAAUACCCGCUGAACUUAAGCAUAUCAAUAAGCGGAGGA